ACCCCACUGCUAUCGGGAUAGGACUAAGACAUGCUAGUUGAGCGCUUCCAGCCAACACGGGAGCGCAGCGCACAGCUCAGUAACACGUGGCUAAUCUGCCCUUGGGACCGGAACACCCCCGGGAAACUGGGGCUAAUUCUCGAUAGGUGAAGAACUCUGGAAUGAGUCUUUGCUUAAAAGACGUUUGCGUUAUGCUCGUAGACGUCGCCCAAGGAUGAGGCCGCGACCGAUCAGGUUGUUGGCGAGGUAAUGGCUCACCAAGCCUUUUACCGGUGCGGGCCGUGAGAGCGGGAGCCCGGAGAUGGGCACUGAGACAAGGGCCCAGGCCCUACGGGGCGCAGCAGUCGCGAAAACUUUGCAAUACACGAAAGUGUGACAGGGCUAUCCCGAGUGCCAUCCGCUGAGGAAGGCUUUUACCCAGUCUAGAACGCUGGGGGAAUAAGGAGAGGGCAAGUCUGGUGUCAGCCGCCGCGGUAAUACCAGCUCUCCGAGUGGUGUGGAUGUUUAUUGGGCCUAAAGCAUCCGUAGCUGGCUAAGUUAGUCCCUUGUUAAAUCCACCGAAUUAAUCGUUGGAUUGCGGGGGAUACUGCUUGGCUAGGGGACGAGGGAGGCAGACGGUAUUUCCGGGGUAGGGGUGAAAUCCUAUAAUCCCGGGAAGACCACCAGUGGCGAAGGCUGUCUGCUAGAACGCGCCCGACGGUGAGGGAUGAAAGCUGGGGGAGCGAACCGGAUUAGAUACCCGGGUAGUCCCAGCUGUAAACGAUGCAGGCUAGGUGUUUGGACGGCCACGUGCCGUUCUAGUGCCGCAGGGAAGCUGUUAAGCCUGCCGCCUGGGGAGUACGAUCGCAAGAUUGAAACUUAAAGGAAU
rnacentral:rRNA from 1 species